CAGCAUGGGAAUAAAACACUGCUGCUUCUCACUCACUACAGCCUUGUGAGACCCUGAGCGGAGGAGUCAGCUAACCUGUGCUCAGACUCCUGAUCCACGGAACUGGAAGGUCUCUGCCUCCUCUCUGUCAGGAAGGAGAGAGAGAAGUUAACCACACAGAACUGACCACCCUCUUUACCCAGAAGGAGCUGAUCAGCCAUCUUUAGGCAGAAGGCUUCCUCCAGCUGCACCCAGAUUCCCCUUCUGUCUCCCACAGCACCCUGGGCUUACUUCUCCAGAUCAUGUAACACCCUGUGCUAAGAUUGUUUAUCUCUUGUCUGACUUCUUGAGUGGAUCAUAAGCUCUUUGAAUGCAGGCAUUGUGUCUUCUCACUCGCAACAUCUCCAGUGUUGAGGACAGAAGUGCCCACAGUGCAUAGGAUAUACUCAAUAAAGGAUUAUCAAAUGUCAUGGAAAUAAGGCCUUAAUUUAAAUUCAGUGGGAAGAGAUUUUCUUGAACUUUAAGAAGACUUGGGGACAAAAUUUGAACUUCUUGUAUGUGUUUCUCCUCAAAGAGCAUAGCUCUGCCUUAAUUCUUCUGAAUCUGACAUCGAGCCUCUGGAGUUUACUAGACUCUUAGGCUGGGAAGCUCUU
rnacentral:lncRNA from 10 species